rnacentral:rRNA from 1 species
CAGUCGCCGCGGUAACACGAAGGGUGCAAGCGUUACUCGGAAUUACUGGGCGUAAAGCGUGCGUAGGUGGUGGUUUAAGUCCGUUGUGAAAGCCCUGGGCUCAACCUGGGAAUUGCAGUGGAUACUGGGUCACUAGAGUGUGGUAGAGGAUAGUGGAAUUUCCGGUGUAGCGGUGAAAUGCGUAGAGAUCGGAAGGAACAUCUGUGGCGAAGGCGACUAUCUGGGCCAACACUGACACUGAGGCACGAAAGCGUGGGGAGCAAACAGGAUUAGAUACCCCUGUAGUCCCUGUCUCUUAUAC